rnacentral:rRNA from 1 species
AAUAGAUACCCUGGUAGUCCCAGCCGUAAACGAUGCUCGCUAGGUGUCAGGCAUGGCGCGACCGUGUCUGGUGCCGCAGGGAAGCCGUGAAGCGAGCCACCUGGGAAGUACGGCCGCAAGGCUGAAACUUAAAGGAAUUGGCGGGGGAGCACAACAACGGGUGGAGCCUGCGGUUUAAUUGGACUCAACGCCGGACAACUCACCGGGGACGACAGCAAUAUGUAGGUCAGGCUGAAGACCUUACCUGAAUCGCUGAGAGGAGGUGCAUGGCCGUCGCCAGUUCGUACUGUGAAGCAUCCUGUUAAGUCAGGCAACGAGCGAGACCCGUGCCCACUGUUACCAGCAUAUCCUCCGGGGAUGAUGGGUAACUCGUGUGGGGACCGCCGGUGUUAAAUCGGAGGAAGGUGCGGGCCACGGUAGGUCAGUAUGCCCCGAAUUUCCCGGGCUACACGCGGGCUACGAAUGAAUGGGACAAUGGGUCCCUCCCCGUGAAAAGGGCUGGUAAUCUCACAAACCCAUCCUUAGUUCGGAUCGAGGGCUGUAACUCGUCCCCG